GGGCACAAAGCAAGCUAAUGUCACCUGAGACCACUUUGGGGACACUGACUGAGGAUUCCCUUAAUCCUGAGCAGCAGCUCCCUCCUGCCCACACCCUAGGGUCAGGAGACAGCUGCUCCCCCUGGUCUCCAGAUGGCAGGGCACAGAGGGGUGACCCCAGUCUCCCUCGAGGGGUGGGAAGCAGGGGGACCGACCCCUGUUCCUCAGCCUUCUCCAACACAGCCUGGGGAGUCUCAACCAAGCAGAAAGGAGAGGAGGGGGCCCCAAGGGAGCGGGUCCACAGGGAGGAGGAGAGGACAGCUUUCCAUCUGCCAGACACAGUCCCAGCGAGCAGUGCCUCGAAGAACAAGGCACAAAAUGUCAUAGCCCCGGAGUCUGAGGCAACCUGCUGGCAGCUGUUGUCCAGAUGUUUUCGAUCCUGGAGGCACUUGGUGAAGAGGCAGCGGGAGCCAGCGGCGGCGGCAGUGGCACUGGGCCGCUGGCAGCUGUUGCGAAAGGGCCUUCAGGCCCUGUGGCUCCGGGAGGCUCAGCUGGAGGCAGCAUGGGGGCAGUACACAAAGGUUCUGCUGGUCCGGAGCUUCCGAGAGUGGAGAAACCUGGCUUUACAGCAGAAACAAGUACAGCCCCACAUGCAGGCUGGGCCAGGGUCCCCGCCCUCCAGGAGAGCCCAGGGCCAAGGCCUCUCCUUGGGAAGAAGCACAGUGGUGGACCCCGCCCAGAGAAGCAGGCUGGAACACACCAGUCCAGGAAGUCUGAGCGAGGAGGAGAGAGCUCAGUGGCUUCUGUCACAUCCUAGGCAGAGAACAGACAGCAGAGACGAGAGAGUCCAGAUCCUGCAGGCCCUGCAACUGGUUGUGUUCUUCCUGUGGUGCCAACAGAAGAAACGAGCCAGACAGGAGAGGGAGACUCGGCGCAAGGCCACCAGGGCCACACAGAGGACAGGGAGCUUCCCCCAGGCCUGGCACUCUACUGCUGCAGGUGUAGCCUGGGCAGCCCCACUGAGCCCCCAGCACCAGAGAGCUUGGCUGUGCAGGUGCUUCGGGGCGUGGCAGCAGUUUGUGCAAAGAGGGUCCUGGUACCGAGACCACCCGGCUGACCGCCGGACAGGGACCCUGAGGAAAUGCCUGGAACAGUGGGUGCGGAUGAAGCAGCUCCGGGAGUCAGAUGGGGCAAAGGUGACCCAGCUGUCCCUCUGCCGGCAGAAAGCAGGACGUGAGGCUCUCUACACCGCAGGCCCUGGAGCCUGUGGCCUGGGUACAGUGGGCCAGGCCCAGGGGCUGCAGAAGCAAGGCCGGGGCUCCCUGCAGGAUGCCUGCCGGACACUGGCCCUCUGCCGGGCGCUGCUGUUGUGGAAGAUGCGGCUUUUCCAGCGCCAGUGGGCCAAAGAAACUGAGGCUCAGAGGGCUGGAGCAGCUUGCUGUAAAUCCCAGUGAGAGUCAGGAGCCAGAAGGUCCUGUGGUGAGACCUUGGUGCUGCCCCCACACAAGAUGGUCACUGCUGGAAUUCAGAGCCCAGACGAAGGCUGUAAAUGAGGGGAGGGUGGCGAUCAGGAGAAGCCAGCUUCCCGGAGGGGAUGUCAGGAGGAAUGGAAGCCAGCAGUUGCAGGGUUAAGAAUGCUGUCCUUGGCUGGGUGCGGUGGCUCACACCUGUAAUCCCAGCACUUUAAGAGGCUGAGGCUAGUGGAUCACCUGAGGUCAGGAGUUCGAGACCAGCCUGGUGAACAUGGCGAAACCCCAUCUCUACUAAAAAUACAAAAGUUAGCCAGGCGUGGUGGCGCUCGCCUGUAAUCCCAGCUACUUGGGAGGCUGAGGCAGAAGAAUGGCUUGAACCUAGGAAGCAGAGGUUGCAGUGAGCCAAGAUCAUGCCACUGCACCCUGGACGACAGAGCGAGAAUCCAUCUCAAAAAAAAAAAAAGAAUUCUGUCCUUGAAAACCACACACCCAUGUGGUCCACUUGGACCCUCAGCCUCUUUCAGUGUACCCCUGCAACUCCAGGGGAAUUCAAUUCACCGUGACCUUUCAGAAUGUGGGGGCACUGCUCACAUGCCUGCCCCACAACCCCUAGGCCCUCCCUUUCCAGCCCAUCCUCUGGCCUUUGGACUUCAGAGCACAGUUCAUAUCUCCUGGCAGCUCUCCCGGGGCACCCUCCUGGCCUAGAUGAGUUCCAGGUCUGCUGCUAUUUGGAGUUUGGGGAAAUGACCUUCCCCCGGGCUCAGCUUUCUUAUCUUUAUAAGUGAGUGGAGGCAGAAGUACUGGUGUGGUUGUAGGGGUGGGCUCUGGAGUCUGGGGUUCCUGGGCCUAGGGCUCAGCUCCACCUCUGAUCAGCUGCAUGGGCUCCCAGCCCGCCCCAGGAGCAUGAUGAGGCCAGCCAGUGAUGCAGGUCCUGCAUUAGCUAAGAGCUAAUGCUCUUAGCUCGGUUAGCCAGAUGUGGUGGCACGCACCUGUAAUCCCAGCUACUCAGGAGGCUGAGGCAGGAGAAUAGCUUGAACCCAGGAGGCAGAGGUUGCAGUGAGCUAAGAUUGUGCCACUGCACUCCAGCCUGGGUCACAGAGCCAGACCCUGUCUCAAAAAUAAAUAAAUAAAUAAAUAA
rnacentral:sRNA from 1 species